rnacentral:rRNA from 1 species
UUUUUUAAUUGAAAACUGGAAUGAAAGGUUAAACAAAAUAUUAACUUUUUUAAUUUAUAAAUUAAAAAUUUAUUUUUUAGUAAAAAAGCUAAAAUAAAUUUAAAGGACGAGAAGACCCUAUAGAUUUUUAUAUUUUAUUAUUAAUUUAAUAUAUAUGUAAUAAAAAUUAUUUUAAUUAUAAAAAAUAUUUUAUUGGGGUGAUAAAAAGAAUUAAAAAUCUCUUUUUUUUUAAAAAACAUAGAUAAUUGAAUUUUUGAUCCUAUAUUAUAGAUUAAAAUAUUAAAUUACCUUAGGGAUAACAGCGUAAUUUUUUUUAUAAGUUCAUAUUAAUAAAAUAGAUUGC